rnacentral:rRNA from 1 species
UACAGAGGGUGCUAGCGUUGUUCGGAAUCAUUGGGCGUAAAGGGCGUGUAGGCGGUUUUGUUAAGUCAUGUGUGAAAUCCCUCGGCUCAACCGGGGAACGACGCAUGAAACUGGCAAGCUAGAGUACCAAAGAGGGGGGUGGAAUUCCCGGUGUAGCGGUGAAAUCGUAGAUAUCGGGAGGAACACCAGUGGCGAAGGCGGCAUCCUGGACCAUUACUA